rnacentral:rRNA from 2 species
AGACCCGAAACCCGGUGAUCUAGCCAUGGGCAGGUUGAAGGUUGGGUAACACUAACUGGAGGACCGAACCGACUAAUGUUGAAAAAUUAGCGGAUGACCUGUGGCUGGGGGUGAAAGGCCAAUCAAACCGGGAGAUAGCUGGUUCUCCCCGAAAGCUAUUUAGGUAGCGCCUCGUGAAUUCAUCUCCGGGGGUAGAGCACUGUUUCGGCUAGGGGGCCAUCCCGGCUUACCAACCCGAUGCAAACUGCGAAUACCGGAGAAUGUUAUCACGGGAGACACACGGCGGGUGCUAACGUCCGUCGUGAAGAGGGAAACAACCCAGACCGCCAGCUAAGGUCCCAAAGUCAUGGUUAAGUGGGAAACGAUGUGGGAAGGCCCAGACAGCCAGGAUGUUGGCUUAGAAGCAGCCAUCAUUUAAAGAAAGCGUAAUAGCUCACUGGUCGAGUCGGCCUGCGCGGAAGAUGUAACGGGGCUAAACCAUGCACCGAAGCUGCGGCAGCGAACGUAUCACCCAAGACAACUUUACGGAGUUGACGAUUGACGGAGCGAAGCGACGUCAAAGCGUUCAUUAAAGUCGAGUUGGCUUAGGGAUACGUUCGUUGGGUAGGGGAGCGUUCUGUAAGCCUGUGAAGGUGUGUCGUGAGGCAUGCUGGAGGUAUCAGAAGUGCGAAUGCUGACAUAAGUAACGAUAAAGCGGGUGAAAAGCCCGCUCGCCGGAAGACCAAGGGUUCCUGUCCAACG